rnacentral:rRNA from 1 species
UACGGAGGGGGCAAGCGUUGUUCGGAAUUACUGGGCGUAAAGGGCGCGCAGGCGGCUGCUCAAGUCAGGCGUGAAAGGCCUGGGCUCAACCCGGGAAUUGCGCUUGAGACUGGGCUGGCUUGAGUGCGGGAGAGGAUGGUGGAAUUCCCAGUGUAGAGGUGAAAUUCGUAGAUAUUCGCAAGAACACCAGUGGCGAAGGCGGCUCACUGGCCCGAUACUGACGCUGAGGUGCGAAAGCGUGGGGAGCAAACAGG